rnacentral:rRNA from 1 species
AUGGGUAACUCUAUCGCAGCUAGUUCAGCUCCUGCACUGCUGGGAGAUACUCACAAUCCAUGCUUCAAAUGGAAGGUUCAUAACUUCUCAAACCUACUCCAGAGGGGAGAGGUCUCAGUCAAUUCAGCCCCCUUUUUCUACUCUGGGUACAAAUGGUUCCUUCAGUUGACUCCUCUUACCAAGUCUUAUUCUGCAAAACCAUGUGUUGCUCUUUCUCUAGGAAUUACUCGAGGAAGUCUGGGCUUGGAGCCAGGUUCCGUGAUGGCUGUGGUGUUUGAGUUGUCCAUAUACAAUCAUUCAGAUCAUGUGCAUUGGGGAUCCAAAGGUAAUAAAUUUAGUUUUUGCAAACCUCCAACUUUCGAAUUCCAACCGGUAGCCACAACUCCCUAA